GGGGCCUACGGGAGGCAGCAGUGGGGAAUUUUGGACAAUGGGCGAAAGCCUGAUCCAGCAAUGCCGCGUGCAGGAUGAAGGCCUUCGGGUUGUAAACUGCUUUUGUACGGAACGAAAAAGCUUCUCCUAAUACGAGAGGCCCAUGACGGUACCGUAAGAAUAAGCACCGGCUAACUUCGUGCCAGCACCCGCGG
rnacentral:rRNA from 1 species